UACUAAGGGGCAAUGCAGCCAUGCUGAGUGAGGACUUUCUGCUGUUUGUUUUUAAUAAGUACCUAGCUCUCAUGUCACAAAAGAAUGAUCGAUAGUUGUCCAAAGCAAACGAUAAAUAAUUAAACGGCAUGGAGUUCCCGCAGAGGCUGUUGUUCUUUCAGUACACAAAGGGAUGCAGAAGUCAACAAGCAGGACAGCAGUUGCUUUCUUAUUCUUGUUUGAAAACUUGGAUGAUGGUUUCAAAGCUACUCUGACCGAGCCUGUACCUGUUGUGGCCAGAAAAAGCAGCGUCAGUCCCUGGAGUGACUGAAAGUGUUUACUGAAAACUACUUGCUGGAGGCAGUCGUUCAAUUGGGAGUUCAACCAGAAGUUCAACUGCUCAUUAUGACGUGCACUGACCACCAGAGGACGGCACGGAAUAUGGCAGGCAUCGGCAGACACAUUUGCUAGCAGCAGGCGACAGUGGAGGUGCUGCCAGCCCCGAUGGGCCCCGACAAGAAUGGGACCCCCGUGGGAUGGUGGAGCAGGAAACCAAGGACAGUUGUGGUGUGUUGAAAGCACAGGAGCCAUGCAAUUGGAAGGCCUGAGGUUUAAAUUCGAGUUAAUCACAGUUGUAAGCACCUAACAUGAUCAGCCAGAGUUUCUGGGAGUGCAGCUGGCGUUUCCAUUGCAGUGGACGAAAGAUGGCCACACUGUCUGACAUUUCUCCCACCAGGAGGUGGGGUCUGCUUCUUUUGCCCUUGAAAUUGGCCCAUGGCUACUCUGAAGAUUGAAGUGAUACUUUGUCAGAUCCCUGAAGUGAUACUUGGCUCAGAACCUUGUACCUCAUGGAGAAACCCUAAAACUACAUGGAGAGGGAGAAGAGCCCAGCCAAGCCAACUUGAUAGUCAUCCCCUCUAAUUUUCCAGACAUGACUUGGACUCUCCACAUGAGACCAGGUACCAGCUGAAAAGCACAUGAGGGUGUCCUCAGUCACAUGGAGCAGAAGAACCACCCAGCUGAGCCCUGCCAGAAUUCCUGAUCCACAGCAUCAUAAAAUAAUGUUACUUAUGCCUCUCUAAGUUUGGUGAUCCAGAUAACAAGGAUAUACAGAUGUAACAAAUUCUCCAGGUUAUUCUUGUGAGUCCUAGAAUUUGAGUCAUGUAAAGGGAGCUGACAUUUCAUGAGUAGUUUUUUUAUUAAGGAGUAGAACAUAUAAACUCAUUUUCUACCUUGUCUGCAUAUCCUAAGAGAAGGAAGAUAAGGUAAAAUAAAAUCUCAUCACUUAUAUUGUUGAACUCAUUUUGUUUUUGGACAAUAGGCCAGUUCUGUUUCUGGCACAAACAAGAGGGGGCCUCCAGCUCUCCUGGACUUUUCUAGACGAUCCAGUGCCACAGACAGUGUUAAUGAACAAUGUAACCUCAACGGAAUGAAGUUCAGCUCUGGAUUUAAAACACAGUGAGUCCUGACAACAUUUGGUUUGGACGUAUUUUCUUCCACUAUGGUUCCAGACCAAAACUGAGAUUUUCUUUUUCUUUUUUUGUUUUUCUCAUGGGAGUAUAUUUUAAGACUGAAGCCUGUGGGUUUCUUUCAGGUUUCAUAAUGAAACCUUUAGGCUUGUAAGUCACAUGACCGACCCCUGCUUUGCCAUAGUUUUGGACAAAAACCACAGGACCCUGCAAACCCCAUUGGGAUUGGUGGUUUUUGUUUUUGUUUCUCAACAAAGCAGUUUGGGCAAGUCUGAGAAAUUUUUUUGCAGACUCAGCAGAGAUGGGUGUGAAACUCAGCAUCUCCUUUGGAUGCUUCAGCUCAGCGUCAGUGGGUUUGGACAAGCCUUGUGCUUAAAAAUGGAACUCUAAAAGCAUAAAACCACAGAAGCCAGAAGUAUUUUCCAAAAUGAGUUGAACCAAGCUGAAGCUGCCGGGAUUCGCGCCCUCUCUGUGCAGACAAGUAGAUGUGCCCCUUCCAACUCGAUGCCCCACCAGCCUUCAGCUCACCCGGUCUGCUAUGUCACAUGCUGGGCAGAGCUGACUCUUUAGAACAGAACUCUGGCCUCUUCUGGUGCUCUUCAGAGGUGGCCCUCUGUCUCCACAAACUCAGUAAUUCAAAGUCUGGCAAGGAAUCGAUCUCACCAUUUAUUUUAUUUCGUUCAUCUGAAAAACAAAACAUCCAUAUGGUGGCAUCACUUGAGGACAGCUGACAAGUAAAUACCAUCCUUGAAGCCCGAGGCUCCCAAGCAGCCUAGGGCAUGGCAAGGCUGCAUCAUCAUGGCUCCAAGUGCUGAUUAAAAUACAGAUCCCCAGGCGGCCCUCCAAACCAUCUUUAUUUUAAUGAGCGGCCCGAGCGAUUGUAUACCUCCAACGCUAGGAACCACUUCUGUGUUUAAAAAAUAUGGUGCUUCUGCCUCUGGCCCAGAUGGAGUAGCAGGGAUCAGAUGUAUCCUCCUGCCUGAAACACCUGGAAAACGGGCCAGGUUUAUGCAGGAAUGGACUUCAGGUAGCACAGGGUAUGACUGCGAGAAGGGGACCAGUGGGUUUUUAGAUGCCAGAAAGGGGGAGUUGGGCAACACUUGGGAUGUGACCAAUAUGUUUCUAAAAGGGGGUUACCAGGCGGUGAUUUUGUUUUAUUACACAAAGGACUCUCACUCACUGCCAAGGAGAGUCUGCCACAGUGAGGGCCGCUGAGUGGCCCAAGGUCCUUCCUUCUGGGGGAGGGAAGGAGGUAUCGGCAGCAGGGGCAUACCUGAGCAGCUGCAGGCUGAGCGAGGCUGAGGCAAGAACAGGUUACAGCGUGCUCUGGUUUGUGUUUUUAAAUGGAGAUAUUUACACACUACAACAUGCAGGCUCUUCCUGUAGGAAGCAUGAGAAAUGGUGUGUCUGGUUGUGUCUGCAGCACUGGGCUGGCAAGCGGGAAAGGAGGUUUGUUUCACUGGACACUUUUUGCACUGUUCAAAUACCUUACAACGGUCGCGUAGUUUGUUUUCAAUAAAUAAAAAAAGCUAGCUAAAAAAU